GGAUUGUGGCUCAGAGGUAGAGCACUCGCCUAGCACGCGUGAGGCACUGAGUUCGAUCCUCAGCACCA
rnacentral:tRNA from 1 species